rnacentral:rRNA from 1 species
ACACUCCUACGGGAGGCAGCAGUGGGGAAUUUUGGACAAUGGGCGAAAGCCUGAUCCAGCAAUGCCGCGUGCAGGAUGAAGGCCUUCGGGUUGUAAACUGCUUUUGUACGGAACGAAAAAGCUCCUUCUAAUACAGGGGGCCCAUGACGGUACCGUAAGAAUAAGCACCGGCUAACUACGUGCCAGCAGCCGCGGUAAUACGUAGGGUGCGAGCGUUAAUCGGAAUUACUGGGCGUAAAGCGUGCGCAGGCGGUUAUGUAAGACAGAUGUGAAAUCCCCGGGCUCAACCUGGGAACUGCAUUUGUGACUGCAUGGCUAGAGUACGGUAGAGGGGGAUGGAAUUCCGCGUGUAGCAGUGAAAUGCGUAGAUAUGCGGAGGAACACCGAUGGCGAAGGCAAUCCCCUGGACCUGUACUGACGCUCAUGCACGAAAGCGUGGGGAGCAAACAGGAUUAGAUACCCCGGUAGUCCC